AGCGAACGCUGGCGGCAGGCCUAACACAUGCAAGUCGAACGAACCCUUCGGGGUUAGUGGCGGACGGGUGAGUAACACGUGGGAACGUGCCUUUAGGUUCGGAAUAACUCAGGGAAACUUGUGCUAAUACCGAAUGUGCCCUUCGGGGGAAAGAUUUAUCGCCUUUAGAGCGGCCCGCGUCUGAUUAGCUAGUUGGUGGUGUAACGGACCACCAAGGCGACGAUCAGUAGCUGGUCUGAGAGGAUGAUCAGCCACAUUGGGACUGAGACACGGCCCAAACUCCUACGGGAGGCAGCAGUGGGGAAUCUUGCGCAAUGGGCGAAAGCCUGACGCAGCCAUGCCGCGUGAAUGAUGAAGGUCUUAGGAUUGUAAAAUUCUUUCACCGGGGACGAUAAUGACGGUACCCGGAGAAGAAGCCCCGGCUAACUUCGUGCCAGCAGCCGCCGUAAUAC
rnacentral:rRNA from 1 species